ACAACUUUUUAUCUCUUUACAGGCCGAACUUUCUUUUAAUACGAACAGACAAAAUGGCCGCACAGAAAGUGUUCUCAAUCAAUGGUUUAUGGUUCAAGAGGAGCUUUGUGUGGUAAAAUAUACGCGUCAUGUACUUAUGUGUAUAUAUAAAUACAUAUGUACACAUAUAUCUCGAUAAUACAUCAAUCCACGUAUACUACGCGUCAUACAUAUUCAAAAUGGCCGACCUGCAAUUUUCAUGGCGGCCCCCUAAAAGGGUUAACGAAAAAAAAGAACUGAUCAUUUUCGUGAAUACACGGCGAACGAUCCUAACGUUACUGUGGUAAAGGACAAUAUAUAUCUAAUCAUAGACGGACAAUGGAUAUAUUUAUAUCUUCUACGUCCGAACAUAUGUAUACAUAUGAAUUAAAGGAAUCAUAUAUUCAUCGUCAUGGGAACUCGGACGAAUCAAGAGACUCAGCUGGAUAAUAACAGUGGUUGGUUCCUGGAUCCAUUAAAGCGAAUAUAACGUACAGCAUUAUCUGCCAAUUUUAAUAUGGACCAGUAUAGAAGAAGCU